rnacentral:lncRNA from 1 species
AAGUACCCGUGGGUCGACAUAUUCAUUGACAGGAAUCACAACGAUGAAUAAAUUGGUGCGCAUCAGAAAACACUGUAGGCCACUAAUAUCUGGCCAUUAAAGCCAUGCGAGCAGUAUUGUCUCCCGCAAAAUGUCCACCACAACUAUCCAAAUGACAUCCUUCCAAAAUUGUACGAACUUCACUUUGAAAGAUGCAACGGCGUAAAAUUCCAUCCCGCCCUUGUUUGUACAAAGCAUCUCCAAUCAUAGUAUACGGCGCACUUUUUAAAAUC